rnacentral:lncRNA from 10 species
UGUGUUCUCAUUGUUUAAUUCCUACCUGUGAGUGAGAACAUGCGGUGUUUGGUUUUUUGUCCUUGCAAUAGUUUGCUGAGAAUGAUGGUUUCCAGCUUCAUCCAUGUCUCUACAAAGGACGUAAACUCAUCAUUUUUUAUGGCUGCAUAGUAUUCCAUGGUGUAUAUGUGCCACAUUUUCUUAAUCCAGUCUAUCGUUGUUGGACAUUUGGCUUGGUUCCAAGCCUUUGCUAUUGUGAAUAGUGCCAUUAUAAACAUACGUGUGCAUGUGUCUUUAUAGCAGCAUGAUUUAUAAUCCUUUGGGUAUAUACCCAGUAAUGGGAUGGCUGGGUCAAAUGGUAUUUCUAGUUCUAGAUCCCUGAGAAAUUGCCACACUGAAUUCCACAAUGGUUGAACUAGUUUACAGUCCCACCAACAGUGUAAAAGUGUUCCUAUUUCUCCACAUCCUCUUCAGCACCUGUUGUUUCCUGACUUGUUAAUGAUCGCCAUUCUAACUGGUGUGAGAUGGUAUCUCAUUGUUGUUUUGACUUGCAUUUCUCUGGCCAGGGAUGAUGAGCAUUUUUUUCAAGUGUCUUUUGGCUGCAUAAAUGUCUUCUUUUGAGAAGUGUCUGUUCAUAUCCUUUGCCCACUUUUUGAUGGGAUUGUUUGUUUUUUUCUUGUAAAUUUAUUGGAGCUCAUUGUAGAUUCUGGAUAUUAGCCCUUUGUCAGAUGAGUAGAUUGCAAAAAAUUUCUCCCAUUCUGUAGGUUGCCUGUUCACUCUGAUGGUAGUUUCUUUUGCUGUGCAGAAGCUCUUUAGUUUAAUUAGAUCCCAUUUGUUAAUUUUGGUUUUUCUUGCCAUUGCUUUUGGUGUUUUAGACAUGAAGUUCUUGCCCAUGCCUAUAUCCUGAAUGGUAUUGCUGAGGUUUUCUUCUAGGGUUUUUAUGGUUUUAGGUCUAAUAUUUAAGUCUUUAAUCCAUCUUGGAUUAAUUUUUGUAUAAGGUGUAAGGAAGGGAUCCAGUUUCAGCUUUCUACAUAUGGCUAGCCAGUUUUCCCAGCACAAUUUAUUAAAUAGGGAAUCCUUUCCCCAUUGCUUGUUUUUGUCAGGUUUGUCAAAGAUCAGAUGGUUGUAGAUAUGUGGCAUUAUUUCUGAGGGCUCUGUUAUGUUCCAUUGGUCUAUAUCUCUGUUUUUGUACCAGUACCAUGAUGUUUUGAUUACUGUAGGCUUGCAGUAUAGUUUGAAGUCAGGUAGCGUGGUGUCUCCAGCUUUGUUCUUUUGGCUUAGGAUUGACUUAGCAAUGUGGGCUCUUUUUUGGUUCCAUAUGAACUUUAAAGCAGUUUUUUCCAAUUCUGUGAAGAAAGUCAUUGGUAACUUGAUGGGGAUGGCAUUGAAUCUAUAAAUUACCUUGGGCAGUAUGUCCAUUUUCACGAUAUUGAUUCUUCCUACCCAUGAGCAUGGAAUGUUAUUCCAUUUGUUUGUGUCCUCUUUUAUUUCUUUGAGCAGUGGUUUAUAGUUCUCCUUGAAGAGGUCCUUCACCUCCCUUGUAAGUUGGAUUCAUAGGUAUUUUAUUCUCUUUGAAGCAAUUGUGAAUGGGAGUUCACUCAUGAUUUGGCUCUCUGUUUGUCUGUAUUGGUAUAUAAGAAUGCUUGUGAUUUUUGCACAUUGAUUUUGUAUCCUGAGACUUUGCUGAAGUUGCCUAUCAGCUUAAGGAGAUUUUGGGCUGAGACAAUGGGGUUUUCUAGAUAUACAAUCAUGCCACCUGAAAACAGGUACAAUUUGACUUCCUCUUUUCUUAAUUGAAUACCCUUUAUUUCCUUCUCCUGCCUGAUUGCCCUGGCCAGAACUUCCAACACUGUUGAAUAGGAGUGGUAAGAGAGGGCAUCCCUGUGUUGUGCCAGUUUUCAAAGGGAAUGCUUCUAGUUUUUGCCCAUUCAGUAUGAUAUUGGCUGUGGGUUUGUCAUAGAUAGCUCUUAUUAUUUUGAGAUACGCCCCAUCAAUACUUAAUUUAUUGAGAGUUUUUAGCAUAAAGGUUGUUGAAUUUUGUCACAGGCCUUUUCUGCAUCUAAUGAGAUAAUCGUAUGCUUUUUGUCAUUGUUUCUGUUUAUAUGCUGGAUUAUGUUUACUGAUUUGAAUAUGUUGAACCAAUCUUGCAUCCCAGGGAGGAAGCCCACUUGAUCAUGGUGGAUAAGUUUUUGAUGUGCUGCUGGAUUCAGUUUGCCAGUAUUUUAUAGAGGAUUUUUGCAUCGAAGUUCAUCAGGGAUAUUUGUCUAAAAUUCUCUUUUUUGGUUGUGUCUCUGCCGGGCUUUGGUAUCAAGAUGAUGCUGGCUUCAUAAAAUGAGUUAGGUAGGAUUCCCUCUUUUUCUAUUAUUUGGAAUAGUUUCAGAAGGAAUGGUACCAGCUCCUCCUUGUACCUCUGGUAGAAUUCGGCUGUGAAUCCGUCUGGUCCUGGACUUUUUUUGGUUGGUAAGCUAUUAAUUAUUGCCUCAAUUUCAGAGCCUGUUAUUGGUCUAUUCAGAGAUUCAACGUCUUCCUGGUUUAGCCUUGGGAGGGUGUACGUGUCGAGGAAUUUAUCCAUUUCUUCUAGAUUUUCUAGUUUAUUUGCAUAGAGGUGUUUAUACUAUUCUCUGAUGGUAGUUUGUAUUUUUCUGGGAUUGCUGGUGAUAUCCCCUUUAUCAGUUUUUAUUGUGUCUAUUUGAUUCUUCUUUCUUUUCUUCUUUAUUAGUCUUGCUAGUGGUCUAUCAAUUUUGUUGAUCUUUUCAAAAAACCAGCUUCUGGAUUCAUGGAUUUUUUGAAGGGCUUUUUGUGCCUCUAUUUCCUUCAGUUCUGCUCUGAUCUUAGUUAUUUCUUGCCUUCUGCUAGCUUUUGAAUGUGUUUGCUCUUUGCUUCUCUAGUUCUUUUAAUUGUGAUGUUAGAGUGUCAAUUUUAGAUCUUUCCUGUUUUCUCUUGUGGGCAUUUAGUGCUAUAAAUUUCCCUCUACACACUGCUUUGAAUGUGUCCGAGAGAUUCUGGUAUGUUGUGUCUUUGUUCUUGUUGGUUUCAAAGAACACCUUUAUUUCUGCCUUCAUUUCAUUAUGUACCCAGUAGUCAUUCAGGAGCACGUUGUUCAGUUUUCAUGUAGUUGAGUAGUUUUGAGUGAGUUUCUUAAUCCUGAGUUCUAGUUUGAUUGCACUGUGGUCUGAGAGACAGUUUGUUAUAAUUUCCGUUGUUUUACAUUUGCUGAAGAGUGCUUCACUUCCAAAUAUGUGGUCAAUUUUGGAAUAAGUGUGGUGUGGUGCGGAGAAGAAUGUAUAUUCUGUUGAUUUGGGGUGGAGAGUUCUGUAGAUGUCUAUUAGGUCCACGUGGUGCAGAGCUGAGUUCAAUUCCUGGAUAUCCUUGUUAACUUUCUGUCUCGUUGAUCUGUCUAAUGUUGACAGUGGGGUGUUAAAGUCUCCCAUUAUUAUUGUGUGGGAGUCUAAGUCUCUUUGUAGGUCUCUAAGGACUUGCUUUUUGAAUCUGGGUGCUCCUGUAUUGGGUGCCUAUAUAUUUAGGAUAGUUAGCUCUUCUUGUUGAAUUGAUCCCUUUACCAUUAUGUAAUGGCCUUCUUUGUCUUUUUUAAUCUUUGUUGGUUUAAAGUCUGUUUUAUCAGAGACUAGGAUUGCAACACCUGCCUUUUUUUGUUUUCCAUUUGCUUGGUAGAUCUUCCUCCAUCCCUUUAUUUUGAGCCUAUGUGUGUCUCUGCACAUGAGAUGGGUUUCCUGAAUACAGCACACUGAUGGGUCUUGACUCUUUAUCCAAUUUGCCAGUCUGUCUUUUAAUCGGAGAAUUUAGCCCAUUGACAUUUAAGGUUCAUAUAGUUAUGUGUGAAUUUGAUCCUGUCAUUAUGAUGUUAGCGGGUUAUUUUGCUCAUUAGUUAAUGCAGUUUGUUCCUAGCCUUGAUGGUCUUUACAAUUUGGCAUGUUUUUGCAGUGGCUGGUACUGAUUGUUCCUUUCAAUGUUUAGUGCUUCCUUCAGGAGCUCUUGUAGGGCAGGACUGGUGGUGACAAAAUCUCUCAGCAUUUGCUUGUCUGUAAAGUAUUUUAUUUCUCCUUCACUUAUGAAGCUUAGUUUGGCUGGAUUUGAAAUUCUGAGUUGAACAUUUUUUUCUUUAAGAAUGUUGAAUAUUGGCCCCCACUCUCUUCUGGCUUGUAGAGUUUCUGCCAAGAGAUCAGCUGUUAGUCUGAUGGGCUUCCCUUUGUGGGUAACCUGACCUUUCUCUCUGGCUGCCCUUAACAUUUUUUCCUUCAUUUUAACUUUGGUGAAUCUGACAAUUAUCUGUCUUGGAGUUGCUCUUCUUGAGGAGUAUCUUUGUGGUGUUCUCCAUAUUUCCUGAAUUUGAAUGUUGGCCUGCCUCGCUAGAUUGGGGAAGUUCUCCUGCAUAAUAUCCUGCAGAGUGUUUUCCAACUUGGUUCCAUUCUCACUGUCACUUUCAGGUACACCAAUCAGACGUAGAUUUGGUCUUUUCACAUAGUCCCAUAUUUCUUGGAGGCUUUGUUCAUUUCUUUUUAUUCUUUUUUCUCUAAGCUUUUCUUCUUGCUUCAUUUCAUUCGUUUCAUCUUCCAUCACUGAUACCCUUUCUUCCAGUUGAUCGAAUCGGCUACUGAGGCUUGUGCAUUUGUCACGUAGUUCUCGUGCCUUGGUUUUCAGCUCCAUCAGGUCCUUUAAGGACUUCUCUGCAUGGGUUAUUCUAGUUAGCCAUUCGUCUAAUUUUUUUUCAAGGUUUUUAACUUCUUUGCCAUGGGUUCGAACUUCCUCCUUUAGCUCGGAGUAAUUUAAUCGUCUGAAGCCUUCUUCUCUCAACUUGUCAAAGUUAUUCUCUGUCCAGCUUUGUUCCAUUGCUGGUGAGGAGCUGCAUUCCUUUGGAGGAGGAGAGGCACUCUGAUUUUUAGAGUUUCCAGUUUUUCUGCUCUGUUUUUUCCCCAUCUUUGUGGUUUUAUCUACCUUUGGUCUUUGAUGAUGGUGACGUACAGAUGGGGUUUUAAUGUGGAUGUCUUUUCUGUUUGUUAGUUUUCCUUCUAAGAGUCAGGACCCUCAGCUGCAGGUCUGUUGGAGUUUGCCUGGGUGUCAGCAGUGGAGGCUGCAGAACAGCGGAUAUUGGUGAGCAGCAAAUGUUGCUGCCUGAUUGUUCCUCUGGAAGUUUUGUCUCAGAGGGGUACCUGGCCAUGUGAGAUGUCAGUCUGCCCCUACGGGGAGGUGCCUCCAGUUAGGCAACUCGGGGGUCAGGGACCCACUUGAGGAGGCAGUGUGUCCAUUCUCAGAUCUCCAGCUGUGUGCUGGGAGAACCACUACUCUCUUCAAAGCUGUCAGACAGGGAUAUUUAAGUCUGCAGAGGAUUCUGCUGCCUUUUGUUUGCCAAUGCCCUGCCCCCAGAGGUGGAGUCUACAGAGGCAGGCAGACCUCCUUGAGCUGUGGUGGGCUCCACCCAGUUGGAGCUUCCCAGCUGCUUUGUUUACCUACUGAAGCCUAGGAAAUGGUGGUCGCCCCUCCCCCAGCCUUGCUGUCACCUUGCAGUUUGAUCUCAGACUGCUGUGCUAGCAAUGAGUGAGGCUCCAUGGGUUUAGGACCCUCCGAGCCAGGUGCGGGAUAUAGUCUCC